ACUGCAUUUCUGUUGCUUCCUCCAUUGUUAUUCUCUCUGCAUAUCAUUGUUACACACGGACCUCUACAAUAGGAAACACUUGAAAAUGCCUGUUCUGCCUAAAGAGGAGAAACCAGAAGCAAACAUGGGUACAGGAUAAUUUUGUUGGCCUCCUGAUGUUCCUUCUGAUCCUAUGGUUUGUGAAUCUGAAUGAUGCAAUGAUGCCAUAAACAGAAAAUGGAAAACACUGAGAUGAAUGUCUACACAAUCUGAAGUCUCUCG
rnacentral:lncRNA from 1 species